UACAGGGGGUGCAAACGUUGCUCGGAAUCAUUGGGCGUAAAGCGCGCGUAGGCGGCUCAUCAAGUCAGGGGUGAAAGCCCGGGGCUCAACCCUGGAACUGCCUUUGAAACUAGUGAGCUAGAAUCUUGGAGAGGCGAGUGGAAUUCCGAGUGUAGAGGUGAAAUUCGUAGAUAUUCGGAAGAACACCAGUGGCGAAGGCGACUCGCUGGACAAGUAUUGACGCUGAGGUGCGAAAGCGUGGGGAGCAAACAGG
rnacentral:rRNA from 1 species